GUUUAGUAGCCGUACUACUUGCAACAUAGAAGUAUGCGUAAUCUGCUUACAAUUUAAUUCUUUAAUAUUUUUAGCCAAAACUAUUCAAGUACUGACAUAUGAUUUCAUGCAUAGAUCUUAUACUACAUCAGGCAUCAAGUCUCUUGCAAUCUCGCAAUAGACCUUCAUUGAAAACCAUAUUGUCCACGUCAAAUCAUUUUCAAAUGUUGGUUUUCUACUCUGCUGUAAUAAUUACAUAGACGAUGAAGAUGAGCAAACGGUGUGCUAGAACAAUGCCGAAGAAAAAUUUCAUUCCACUGCUAUCAAAACUGCAUCACCACCAGCGUUAUUGUUAUGUAUAUUGUUCUUUCUUGUACCAGUUUAAACUACAUGAUCGUUGGACAAACAUAUUUUUAUAUUUAAGUAUAAAUAUAUUCAUGUUAUAUUGUAUAAUAUAA